rnacentral:lncRNA from 1 species
CUGGCCUCAGUUGGCUCCUCCUCCCCUCCCGCUCGAGUUGAAGCUGGUUGUCGGGCCUCCUUUCCUCUGGCCCAGGAACAGGAGGGAGCCCUGUGGGCUCACACUGCCCUGGUUGUCCAAGUCCCAAAGGUCCUGGCAAGGAGACCGCGUGCUUCAGCCCACUGUGCGUCUUCAGGCCUAAGUAGCAAGGAUUAUCCUGAGCUAAAGGCGACUGAGAAUCAACCUGUGCAGAACACACUCUCCGUCCUCCUUUUUCUCCUUUUUCUGCCAAGAAGCAGGACAUCGACUGCUCUCGCUGCCCCUGCACCAGGAAGGUGAGCAGCAACCAGUCGCCCGGCCCUCAUUCCCGGGGUGGUCACCGUCUGGGAUGGCGGGAAGCCCACGGCUCAC